AGCUGUGAAUAACACUGAACACAUGUCUACUAAACUAAAAAGCGCUACCACGUAAGGCUGUGAUUUUUAGGCCAUCUUACUCAGAGUCCCCCGCUCAUCAGGUGCCAAGGAUUUUCCCCAUCGAUGUAAAAUAAGAGA